UCCCUUAGAUGUUCUGGGCUGCACGCGCGCUACACUGUCGGAUUCAGCGAGUCAUAUCCUUAACCGAAAGGUUUGGGUAAUCUUUUGAAAGUCCGACGUGAUGGGGAUUGAUCAUUGCAAUUAUUGAUCAUGAACGAGGAAUUCCUAGUAAGCGCGAGUCAUCAGCUCGCGUUGAUUACGUCCCUGCCCUUUGUACACACCGCCCGUCGCUACUACCGAUUGAAUGGUUUAGUGAGAUCUUCGGAUUGGCGCCUACGCGGCUUCUCUGAGGCCACGCUGGAUGCCGAAAAGUUGCUCAAACUGUAUCAUUUAGAGGAAGUAAAAGUCGUAACA
rnacentral:rRNA from 1 species